rnacentral:rRNA from 1 species
AACGAACGCUGGCGGCAUGCCUAACACAUGCAAGUCGAACGAUGCCUUCGGGCAUAGUGGCGCACGGGUGCGUAACGCGUGGGAAUGUGCCUUUCGGUUCGGAAUCACUCAGGGAAACUUGAGCUAAUACCGGAUAACGUCGCAAGACCAAAGAUCUAUCACCGAAAGAUGAGCCCGCGUAGGAUUAGCUAGUUGGUGAGGUAAAGGCUCACCAAGGCGACGAUCCUUAGCUGGUCUGAGAGGAUGAUCAGCCACACUGGGACUGAGACACGGCCCAGACUCCUACGGGAGGCAGCAGUGGGGAAUAUUGGACAAUGGGCGAAAGCCUGAUCCAGCAAUGCCGCGUGAGUGAUGAAGGCCUUAGGGUUGUAAAGCUCUUUUACCCGGGAAGAUAAUGACAGUACCGGGAGAAUAAGCCCCGGCUAACUCCGUG